rnacentral:rRNA from 1 species
GACGAACGCUGGCGGCGUGCUUAACACAUGCAAGUCGAACGGAAAGGCCCUGCUUUUGUGGGGUGCUCGAGUGGCGAACGGGUGAGUAACACGUGAGUAUCCUGCCCUUGACUUUGGGAUAACUUCAGGAAACUGGGGCUAAUACCGGAUAGGAGCUCCUGCUGCAUGGUGGGGGUUGGAAAGUUUCGGCGGUUGGGGAUGGACUCGCGGCUUAUCAGCUUGUUGGUGGGGUAGUGGCUUACCAAGGCUUUGACGGGUAGCCGGCCUGAGAGGGUGACCGGCCACAUUGGGACUGAGAUACGGCCCAGACUCCUACGGGAGGCAGCAGUGGGGAAUAUUGCACAAUGGGCGGAAGCCUGAUGCAGCAACGCCGCGUGCGGGAUGACGGCCUUCGGGUUGUAAACCGCUUUCGCCUGUGACGAAGCGUGUGUGACGGUAAUGGGUAAAGAAGCACCGGCUAACUACGUG